rnacentral:rRNA from 1 species
UAGGGAAUAUUGGGCAAUGGAGGGAACUCUGACCCAGCCAUGCCGCGUGCAGGAUGAAGGCGUUAUGCGUUGUAAACUGCUUUUAUAUAGGAAGAAAUAGUCCUUGCGAGGAAAGUUGACGGUACUAUAUGAAUAAGUACCGGCUAACUCCGUGCCAGCAGCCGCGGUAAUACGGAGGGUGCAAGCGUUGUCCGGAUUUAUUGGGUUUAAAGGGUGCGUAGGCGGUUUAUUAAGUCAGUGGUGAAAGACGGUCGCUCAACGAUUGCAGUGCCAUUGAUACUGGUAGACUUGAGUAUGAUUGAGGUAGCUGGAAUGGAUAGUGUAGCGGUGAAAUGCAUAGAUAUUAUCCAGAACACCAAUUGCGUAGGCAAGUUACUAAGUCAUAACUGACGCUGAGGCACGAAAGUGUGGGUAUCAAACAGGAUUAGAUACCCCCGUAGUCCCUGAGCGGGCUGGCAAGGCGCAU